UUCACAAUUCUCUUGGAGCAGCUUUGUGAUGGUAAUUAGUACAAUGCCUUCUAUUUCAGCCAAGAAAUUAAGGUAUUUUGAGACAGUUGGAGAAACCAAGUUUGGCAGCCUGAGACUAGGAUUUCAAUAUCUCCUGAUGAAGAGAAACUGCACUAAGACUUCCACUGUUCCUGAGAAGAUCUGGAAGAAGAGUUCAAUAAUCAAAACAUCAGAAAAUCACUUAUAAACCCACUGGAAACUGCUCUUAUUUCAAAACUGACAGAGGCACCUCUGUCGGCAUCAAAGCAAGCUAUUUAAGCAAUGCUAACAACUGAACUUUGUGAGAAGGCUUAUUCUUUACAGACUUUAAAGUUUAAAGCGACUUUACAGCACAGCAUCUGGAUUGAGCUACUCGGCUGUCUAAUGAGGCCAGUGAGGAGAAGCUGUCCUAAGGCACGAGGAUAUCAGG
rnacentral:lncRNA from 1 species